AGUGAACGCUGGCGGUAGGCCUAACACAUGCAAGUCGAACGGCAGCACAGGAGAGCUUGCUCUCUGGGUGGCGAGUGGCGGACGGGUGAGGAAUACAUCGGAAUCUACUCUGUCGUGGGGGAUAACGUAGGGAAACUUACGCUAAUACCGCAUACGACCUACGGGUGAAAGCAGGGGACCUUCGGGCCUUGCGCGAUUGAAUGAGCCGAUGUCGGAUUAGCUAGUUGGCGGGGUAAAGGCCACCAAGGCGCCGAUCCGUAGCUGGUCUGAGAGGAUGAUCAGCCACACUGGAACUGAGACACGGUCCAGACUCCUACGGGAGGCAGCAGUGGGGAAUAUUGGACAACGGGCGCAAGCCUGAUCCAGCCAUACCGCGUGGGUGAAGAAGGCCUUCGGGUUGUAAAGCCCUUUUGUUGGGAAAGAAAUCCAUCUGGUUAAUACCCGGGUGGGAUGACGGUACCCAAAGAAUAAGCACCGGCUAACUUCGUGCCAGCAGCCGCGGUAA
rnacentral:rRNA from 1 species